rnacentral:rRNA from 1 species
UGCCUAUUUUGGUGUCCAUUUGAGCGAGAAGGCGCCUUUGAUGGUGGAUCAGAAAACUUAUUACGACUUGCAGCAGGCACGGAGAGCUUUUUUGCUGGAGCCGAGGCAGCUAACUGUUCAGCAUGUGGGUUUGAUCUUAUUCCUGAAGCCAUUCCCGGGCGUGAUCUACCAGCAGAUAGUGGUCGCUCAGGUAGCUUUGUCCUUAGGUUUGGUGGCGUUUCAUUUGGGAAAUCAGGGAUAUCAAGUGGCCGCACCGGAGCUCGGGGCCGUGGACUUGGGGAACUUGGACGGGAUGAUGGAGCUGAUGACGGUGCUGAACUUCGGCCACUACUAGCUGCAGGUCGGUUCAUAGAUGUCGUCAAGCUAUUGCUACUAGAAGUGCGUCCAAAAGAAGGCGAACGGCCCAUAGCUGGGGUCGAUGAACGCACUGCAGGCUGACGUGUAGGUGUAGAUGAUCGUGAGCUGGAGCGACUCACUGAAGGAACUGUACCAGAAGACAAUGAGGUGGGAUGACUUGUCCCAUGACCAUUACUUGAGGAAGCGCCUGUCCUGGCAGCAGCUACGUCAGUUGCAGAGUUGGAUGUUGCUUGAUGAGUUUUCACAGGAGUAGACGGGCGAGUUUUGGAUGGUGUAGAUGGACGAGGUUUAACAGGAGUAGAUGACCUUGCUGGAACUGGACGUGAAGCUGGCACCAAUUGUUUUGGCGCAGCAAUGGUGCUGCUUCGCCUACUUGGGGUUGUAGGUCUUGAACUGACAGAUGAAAUACUCGCGUUGAGAACCGCUGUCCUGUUAUUGCUUGACAUGAGAGUUGAUUGGAUAGAAGGGCGGGUUACAGAGUUACUUCUUGCUGGUCUAGCGGGAACUGCAGAAUGUCCAUUCUCUGUUUGA